rnacentral:rRNA from 1 species
UACGAGUGCCCCGAGCGUUAUCCGGAAUCAUUGGGCGUAAAGGGUGUGUAGGUGGUUGUGUUAGUCAAUUGUUAAAACCUGGGGCUUAACCCCAGUUCUGCGAUUGAAACGGCACAACUAGAGGAUGCGAGGGAUGUAUGGAACUCAUGGAGUAGGGGUGAAAUCCGUUGAUAUCAUGGGGAACACCAAAAGCGAAGGCAGUACAUUGGCGCACUCCUGACACUGAAACACGAAAGCGUGGGUAGCGAAUGGG